UAAACACUCCCUCCGUUCCAAAUUACUCAUCGCAGAAAUAGAUGUAUCUAGAACUAAAAUACAUCUUGAUACAUCCAUACCCGCGACAAGUAAUUCGGAACGGAGGGAGUAGGUC
rfam:Triticum aestivum genome assembly, contig: Triticum_aestivum_CS42_TGACv1_scaffold_031202_1BL